AGCGAACGCUGGCGGCAGGCCUAACACAUGCAAGUCGAACGGACCCUUCGGGGUUAGUGGCGGACGGGUGAGUAACACGUGGGAACGUGCCUUUAGGUUCGGAAUAGCCCCUGGAAACGGGUGGUAAUGCCGAAUGUGCCCUUCGGGGGAAAGAUUUAUCGCCUUUAGAGCGGCCCGCGUCUGAUUAGCUAGUUGGUGAGGUAAUGGCUCACCGAGGCGACGAUCAGUAGCGGGUCUGAGAGGAUGACCAGCCACACUGGGACUGAGACACGGCCCAGACUCCUACGGGAGGCAGCAGUGGGGAAUCUUGCGCAAUGGGCGAAAGCCUGACGCAGCCAUGCCGCGUGAAUGAUGAAGGUCUUAGGAUUGUAAAAUUCUUUCACCGGGGACGAUAAUGACGGUACCCGGAGAAGAAGCCCCGGCUAACUUCGUGCCAGCCGCCGCAGUAAGAC
rnacentral:rRNA from 1 species